rnacentral:rRNA from 1 species
ACUCAAAGGAAUUGACGGGGGCCCGCACAAGCGGUGGAGCAUGUGGUUUAAUUCGACGCUACGCGAAGAACCUUACCUGGGCUUGAACUGCUGGUGGUAGAAGCCCGAAAGGGUAACGACCCGGAGCAAUCCGGGAGCCAGUAGAGGUGCUGCAUGGCUGUCGUCAGCUCGUGUCGUGAGAUGUUGGGUUAAGUCCCGCAACGAGCGCAACCCUUACCCUUAGUUGCCAGCGGGUAAUGCCGGGCACUCUAAGGGGACCGCCCCGGAUAACGGGGAGGAAGGCGGGGAUGACGUCAAGUCAGCAUGGCCUUUAUGUCCAGGGCUACACACGUGCUACAAUGGGCGAUACAGAGGGAAGCAAGGCCGCAAGGUAGAGCUAAUCCCUAAAGUCGUCCUCAGUUCGGAUUGCAGGCUGCAACUCGCCUGCAUGAAGUCGGAAUCGCUAGUAAUCGCGGAUCAGCUACGCCGCGGUGAAUACGUUCUCGGGCCUUGUACACACCGCCCGU